UACAGAGGGGGCAAGCGUUAUUCGGAAUUAUUGGGCGUAAAAGGGCGCGUAGGCGGCUUGGCAAGUGGAUGGUGAAAUCCCUCGGCUUAACCGAGGAACUGCCAUCCAGACUGCUUUGCUUGAGGCCGGGAGAGGUAAGUGGAAUUCCCAGUGUAGCGGUGAAAUGCGUAGAUAUUGGGAGGAACACCAGUGGCGAAGGCGGCUUACUGGACCGGUUCUGACGCUGAGGCGCGAAAGCUAGGGGAGCAAACAGGG
rnacentral:rRNA from 1 species